rnacentral:tRNA from 1 species
GGCGCGGUGGUGCAGUGGGUAGCACUGGCGCCUCACAGCAAGAAGGUCGCGGGUUCGAAUCUCGGCUGUGUGG